UACCUGCAAAACCCAGGCACUUUGGCUCUAUCUAUGGAACUAUUUGUAAGAAAGAAGCCUUUCCUGCCGCCUUCUCCAUGUCCUGUCUUUCUCCUUCCAUGGAGUUUCUUUUGUCUUGGGCUCCUCUACUUUUCCUAUUUUAACAACUCCUUAAAUCCAACUCCUCAUUGCUUGUUGCUCUGAACUUUGAAGGAGUGAGAAAGAGAGAGUCCUAGAAAGCUGAAAUUGAUAUAUGGACAUAAAGAAUAAGAAGACUACUGGGAUUGAGAGAUACGGAUCCCCUGCCCAAGCAGUUCCCCUGGGUUUCCUCUAGCAAAUUACCUGUGCUACUUCUGAACUGAGAUGAAGCUUGAGGCUGACUGACUUCUAUGAUUUCGUCUCGGAAUAUUGUUCUGCCUGGCUCCCUGAAUGCCAUCUAAGAAGCUUGUUAAAGAGUGUUGACAACCUUCCUAUUUGGCAUGAGGGGAGUCAAGCAGGCGAAACACAUGGUGAUCAUGAUGUCAAGCUCAUUUCCAUGGAGGCAUCACCUCUUCCAACUGAUCAAAAUCUGUAAUUUUCUUUCCUCUGUUCUUAUCAUACAGCCAAACACCUUAUCCAUUUUGCCUUCUCAAAUAAACUAAAGGUGUAGCAACAAUCAGUAGUCUUAAAAAUCCCAAAGAACUGUGACCAUUCAUUUUCCAAUUUAUUCUUCAAAGUACAUAUGUUCUUUUUCUUUUAGCUUUUGGGAAUUAAAAUAUCUUAUCAAACCUUUAUGCGUAGUUUGAGGUUUCAGCAGUUAAUUGAUGGUAGCCAUGAACCAGACCAGGGAAGAAGAGUCAUGCCUGGUUCUGAACGUCAUGGAUAUGUGACUGUGAGGGGACCAUUGCAUACUACAUGCUUAUUGUUGCCUGGCUUUGUAUGUUGAUAUCUAGUGUCAUAAAGAUCAGAACUUCCAGUUAUUUCUGUAUAACUAACUUGUUAUUGUUUCAUAAACUACAGCUUUGAUCAGUGGUCGGUCAUUUCUGUACCUUUCUGGGCUCCCCUUACCCUUAUGCCACAUUAAGCCCCCAAGGAGUUGUUGGGUGAAACAUAGCUUCGAAGAAAAACUAGAAAUCAAAGAGAAAAAGGUUCCUCUUAGCUUUAUCGUUACUCGCUUGUCUUGGAUCAAUCUGUAUCUUUCCUGGUUGGCACUCCAAAGCUGAAAAAGAGUCCAACUUCAGUUGCCAAGUUUGACUUGGCCAAGAUAAUGACCAGGCAUUUAGCAUGAAACAAAAAGUUCAAUCACUUUUCCACAAA